rnacentral:rRNA from 1 species
GUGUCAGCAGCCGCGGUAAUACAGAGGUCUCAACCGUUGUUCGGAUUCAUUGGGCGUAAAGGGUGCGUAGGCGGUCGCGUAAGUCGGAUGUGAAAUCUCAGGGCUCAACCCUGAAACUGCAUUCGAUACUGCGUGGCUAGGGUACUGGAGAGGAGACUGGAAUUUACGGUGUAGCAGUGAAAUGCGUAGAUAUCGUAAGGAAGACCAGUGGCGAAGGCGAGUCUCUGGACAGUUACCGACGCUGAGGCACGAAGGCCAGGGGAGCAAACGGGAUUAGAUACCCCUGUAGUCC